rnacentral:rRNA from 1 species
CUACGGGGUGCUGCAGUGAGGAAUUUUGCGCAAUGGGGGAAACCCUGACGCAGCAACGCCGCGUGAGCGAAGAAGGCCCUCGGGUCGUAAAGCUCUGUCAAGUGGGAAAAAAAUUCUUUGAUGAACAGUCAAAGGACUUGAUGGUACCACUGGAGGAAGCACCGGCUAACUCCGUGCCAGCAGCCGCGGUAAUACGGAGGGUGCAAGCGUUGUUCGGAAUUACUGGGCGUAAAGAGCGUGUAGGCGGUUUGACAAGUCAGAUGUGAAAGCCCCGGGCUCAACCCGGGAAGUGCAUUUGAAACUGUUUCACUAGAGUAUGGGAGAGGAGAUUGGAAUUCCUGGUGUAGAGGUGAAAUUCGUAGAUAUCAGGAGGAACACCCGUGGCGAAGGCGAUUCUCUGGACCAAUACUGACGCUGAGACGCGAAAGCGUGGGGAGCAAACAGGAUUAGAUACCCGGGUAGUC